rnacentral:rRNA from 1 species
UACGUAGGCAGCAAGCGUUGUUCGGAAUUACUGGGCGUAAAGAGUGCGUAGGUGGUUGGUCAAGUUUGGUGUGAAAUCUCCCGGCUCAACUGGGAGGGUGCGCCGAAAACUGGCUGGCUAGAGUGUGGGAUAGGGAAGCGGAAUUCCUGGUGUAGCGGUGAAAUGCGUAGAUAUCAGGAGGAACGCCUGCGGUGUAGACGGCUUCCUGGACCAUGACUGACACUGAGGCACGAAAGCGUGGGUAGCAAAC